rnacentral:RNase_P_RNA from 1 species
GAGAGGCGGUGGGCGGCUAACCUAGGUUGGCAUAAAAGCUGACCGAGAGGAGGAAAGUCCCCCCACCAUGAAAGGCGGAGUGCCGCAAGGCACUAUGCCGAGAGGCAUGGCAACGGAGCAGAAACGAUACCCACAUGGGGUAAUGCGAUGAAGCUAUGCAGAGAUCACCCAUGUGGGAUGGAACGGCCGACCCCGCCGGUGCAAGCUCAGGCGCUCAGACUGAUGCCGCCGGAACAGAAGGGGGCUUACUACCGCCACUC